UACGUAGGGGGCAAGCGUUGUCCGGAAUCAUUGGGCGUAAAGAGCGUGUAGGCGGCCUUAUAAGUCGGCUGUGAAAGUCAGGGGCUCAACCCUUGAAUGCCGGCCGAUACUGUGAGGCUAGAGUCCGGAAGAGGCGAGUGGAAUUCCUGGUGUAGCGGUGAAAUGCGCAGAUAUCAGGAGGAACACCGAUGGCGAAGGCAGCUCGCUGGGACGGUACUGACGCUGAGACGCGAAAGCGUGGGGAGCGAACAGG
rnacentral:rRNA from 1 species